UACGUAGGGGGGCAAGCGUUGUCCGGAUUUAUUGGGCGUAAAGAGCGUGUAGGCGCCAGGUAGGUCUGCUGUGAAAACUCGAGGCUUAACCUCGAGCUGUCGGCGGAAACCAUCUGGCUAGAGUCCGGAAGAGGAGAAUGGAAUUCCCGGUGUAGCGGUGAAAUGCGCAGAUAUCGGGAAGAACACCCGUGGCGAAGGCGGUUCUCUGGGACGGUACUGACGCCUGAGACGCGAAAGCGUGGGGAGCGAACAGG
rnacentral:rRNA from 1 species